rnacentral:rRNA from 1 species
AGUAAUGCAUAAGCAAUCUGCCCUUAAGUCUGGGAUAACUCUCCGAAAGGAGGGCUAAUACCGGAUAUUCUCUUUUUAUCGCAUGAUUUAAAGAGGAAAGAUCCGUCGCUUAAGGAGGAGCUUAUGUCUGAUUAGUUUGUUGGUGAGGUAAUGGCUUACCAAGACUACGAUCAGUAGCUGGUCUGAGAGGACGAUCAGCCACACUGGGACUGAGACACGGCCCAGACUCC